rnacentral:piRNA from 1 species
UAUGUCGUUGUAGGUUGGCCAAUCAUC